rnacentral:tRNA from 1 species
GGGGAUUUGGCUCAGUGGUAGAGCGCUUGCCUAGCAAGCACAAGACCUGGAAAAAAAAAAAAAAAGGUCUAAGCAAAGGGGUGGUGUUCUAGUCCCCU